rnacentral:tRNA from 1 species
GCCGGAAUAGCUCAGUUGGGAGAGCGUUAGACUGAAGUUGUUUACGCAACAGUCAUCUACAGGCCCCCGGUUCAAUUCCGGGUUCCGGCA